rnacentral:ncRNA from 1 species
GAAACCUGUCAACAACUGUGCCUGGGCUGGGGGAAGCCAGAGGAAACUGUUUUGGAGGUUCUUACAACUGAUGUGUAAGUCAGUUGUCUGAACUGGGUAUUGGGGCAAAAGACUAAUUGAACCAUGUAGUAGC